rnacentral:rRNA from 1 species
CAGCAGCCGCGGUAAAACGGAGGGUGCAAGCGUUAUCCGGAUUUAUUGGGUUUAAAGGGUCCGUAGGCGGAUCUGUAAGUCAGUGGUGAAAUCUCACAGCUUAACUGUGAAACUGCCAUUGAUACUGCAGGUCUUGAGUAAAUUUGAAGUGGCUGGAAUAAGUAGUGUAGCGGUGAAAUGCAUAGAUAUUACUUAGAACACCAAUUGCGAAGGCAGGUCACUAAGAUUUAACUGACGCUGAUGGACGAAAGCGUGGGGAGCGAACAGGAUUAGAUACCCGCGUAGUCCCUGUCUCUUAUAC